rnacentral:rRNA from 2 species
CGAACGCUGGCGGCGUGCCUAAUACAUGCAAGUCGAGCGAAUCGACGGGAGCUUGCUCCCUGAGAUUAGCGGCGGACGGGUGAGUAACACGUGGGCAACCUGCCUAUAAGACUGGGAUAACUUCGGGAAACCGGAGCUAAUACCGGAUACGUUCUUUUCUCGCAUGAGAGAAGAUGGAAAGACGGUUUACGCUGUCACUUAUAGAUGGGCCCGCGGCGCAUUAGCUAGUUGGUGAGGUAAUGGCUCACCAAGGCGACGAUGCGUAGCCGACCUGAGAGGGUGAUCGGCCACACUGGGACUGAGACACGGCCCAGACUCCUACGGGAGGCAGCAGUAGGGAAUCUUCCGCAAUGGACGAAAGUCUGACGGAGCAACGCCGCGUGAACGAAGAAGGCCUUCGGGUCGUAAAGUUCUGUUGUUAGGGAAGAACAAGUACCAGAGUAACUGCUGGUACCUUGACGGUACCUAACCAGAAAGCCACGGCUAACUACGUGCCAGCAGCCGCGGUAAUACGUAGGUGGCAAGCGUUGUCCGGAAUUAUUGGGCGUAAAGCGCGCGCAGGUGGUUCCUUAAGUCUGAUGUGAAAGCCCACGGCUCAACCGUGGAGGGUCAUUGGAAACUGGGGAACUUGAGUGCAGAAGAGGAAAGUGGAAUUCCAAGUGUAGCGGUGAAAUGCGUAGAGAUUUGGAGGAACACCAGUGGCGAAGGCGACUUUCUGGUCUGUAACUGACACUGAGGCGCGAAAGC